rnacentral:misc_RNA from 1 species
CUGGAACGCGCCCCAGGCGCACCCAGAAACCCUUUGUGAACUUAUACCUUACUGUUGCCUCGGCGCAUGCCGGCCCCCAGGGGCCCCUCUGGAGACAGAGGAGCAGGCACGCCGGCGGCCAAGUUAACUCUUGUUUUUACACUGAAACUCUGAGGAAAAAAAAAAAAACAAAAUGAAUCA